AUUGAACGCUGGCGGCAUGCCUUACACAUGCAAGUCGAACGGUAACAGGUCUUCGGAUGCUGACGAGUGGCGAACGGGUGAGUAAUACAUCGGAACGUGCCCGAGAGUGGGGGAUAACGAGGCGAAAGCUUUGCUAAUACCGCAUACGAUCUCAGGAUGAAAGCAGGGGACCGCAAGGCCUUGCGCUCACGGAGCGGCCGAUGGCAGAUUAGGUAGUUGGUGGGAUAAAAGCUUACCAAGCCGCCGAUCUGUAGCUGGUCUGGGAGGACGACCAGCCACACUGGGACUGAGCCACGGCCCAGACUCCUACGGGAGGCAGCAGUGGGGAAUUUUGGACAAUGGGCGCAAGCCUGAUCCAGCCAUGCCGCGUGCAGGAUGAAGGCCUUCGGGUUGUAGACUGCUUUUGUACGGAACGAAAAGACUCCUUCUAAUAAAGGGGGUCCAUGACGGUACCGUAAGAAUAAGCACCGGCUAACUACGUGCCAGCAGCCGCAGUAACAC
rnacentral:rRNA from 1 species